rnacentral:rRNA from 1 species
AUUGAACGCUGGCGGCAGGCCUAACACAUGCAAGUCGAACGAGCGGCGGACGGGUGAGUAAUGUAUGGGGAUCUGCCCGAUGGAGGGGGAUAACUACUGGAAACGGUGGCUAAUACCGCAUACUAUCAGAUGAGCCCAGAUGGGAUUAGCUAGUAGGUGGGGUAAUGGCUCACCUAGGCGACGAUCCCUAGCUGGUCUGAGAGGAUGACCAGCAACACUGGAACUGAGACACGGUCCAGACUCCUACGGGAGGCAGCAGUGGGGAAUAUUGCACAAUGGGCGCAAGCCUGAUGCAGCCAUGCCGCGUGUGUGAAGAAGGCCUUCGGGUUGUAAAGCACUUUCAGCGGGGAGGCGUUACCCGCAGAAGAAGCACCGGCUAACUCCGUGCCAGCCGCCGCGGUAAUAC